CGAGGAAAUAAAAUCAGUCCUCCGUCAGAUUUUGUUGACGAUUUUUCCUCAGAAAUUCUAUCGUCAUGAUUCCUCAACGAAAACUGGUGCUCUUGCUGAUAACAUCCGUCGCCAUGAUAGAUGCAAUAACUUUCUGCAUCGCUCCCACAGAUUGUAUAGCACAUUGUCCAGGGCGUUUCGUACCCAUUUGCAUGCUUGGACUCUGUACAUGUGCACCACUGCCUCCUCCGUCUUCACCCGAGAAUGCAACGAAAUCUGAUUGACCAUCGGCGCGUGACUCCUGGAAAAUGACUGGAAAUUUUUUUGCGAAAUUGUAAUCGAGUGAAUAAAAUUAAUAUCAUGGAAUUAUUUCAAUGCAGUAAUUUUCCUUUAAGGAAUGGUUUUUCCCUUGAAAUAUUAUCAAUUUCCACAGUAAUUACCAUCGAUGCUAAUUACCCACAUGACAAGCUUAUCAGUGAUUCCCAAGGAAAUCGAUUCAGUAUUUGCCAUCAGUUUCAACACAACAGUUCGUCGUAAUGAUUCUAAAAAAAUUAUUAUUUCUAUUUUUCAUUAUUGGAAUGAUGUGGGCCUCGACGUACGCUGAUUGUACAGAGGAUUCUGAAUGCAAUAAAUAUUGUCCGAUACAUGGAACUAUUGGUUCGUGCCA